AGUAGUUUGAUCCUGGCUCAGAGCGAACGCUGGCGGCAGGCUUAACACAUGCAAGUCGAACGGGCACUUCGGUGCUAGUGGCAGACGGGUGAGUAACGCGUGGGAACGUGCCUUUCGGUUCGGAAUAAUCCAGGGAAACUUGGACUAAUACCGGAUACGCCCUUCGGGGGGAAAGAUUUAUCGCCGAAAGAUCGGCCCGCGUCUGAUUAGCUAGUUGGUGAGGUAAAGGCUCACCAAGGCGACGAUCAGUAGCUGGUCUGAGAGGAUGAUCAGCCACACUGGGACUGAGACACGGCCCAGACUCCUACGGGAGGCAGCAGUGGGAAUAUUGGACAAUGGGCGAAAGCCUGAUCCAGCCAUGCCGCGUGAGUGAUGAAGGCCUUAGGGUUGUAAAGCUCUUUUGUCCGGGAAGAUAAUGACUGUGCCGGAAGAAUAAGCCCCGGCUAACUUCGUG
rnacentral:rRNA from 1 species